GGCUUUGCACAGUGGCAGUAUCAUAGCCAAUGAGGUCCAGCCGAGGCGUGAUUAUUGCUAAUAGU
rnacentral:snRNA from 1 species